rnacentral:ncRNA from 2 species
UGCUUUAUACAUAGGUAUAAAGGAAGAGCAUUGUUGUCAAGCUUUCCAGCAGAAUAUCUUUCAAGAUUUCUCGC